GGUUCAGGAUGAACGCUAGCGACAGGCUAACACAUGCAAGUCGAGGGGCGAGCAUAAAAGUAGCAAUACUUGGUGGCGACCGGCGCACGGGUGAGUAACGCGUAUGCAACCUACCUAUCAGAGGGGAAUAACCCGGCGAAAGUCGGACUAAUACCGCAUAAAACAGGGACACCGCAUGGUGAUAUUUGUUAAAGAAAUUCGCUGAUAGAUGGGCAUGCGUUCCAUUAGGUAGUUGGUGAGGUAACGGCUCACCAAGCCGACGAUGGAUAGGGGAACUGAGAGGUUGGUCCCCCACACUGGUACUGAGACACGGACCAGACUCCUACGGGAGGCAGCAGUGAGGAAUAUUGGUCAAUGGGCGAGAGCCUGAACCAGCCAAGUCGCGUGAAGGAAGAAGGAUCUAUGGUUCGUAAACUUCUUUUGCAGGGGAAUAAAGUGCAGGACGUGUCCUGUUUUGUAUGUACCCUGAGAAUAAGGAUCGGCUAACUCCGUGCCAGCCGCCGC
rnacentral:rRNA from 1 species